AGCUCCUGGCAGCCAGCACUUUACUUCCCAGCUCUACAAUGUUGUCCCAAAAGGCAUCCCACAAUAUGGUACCUUCAGAGGAGCCCUGUCUCACCUCAUAUCUUACCUGAACCUUGGAGGAGAUGCUGAGAUUAGCAUUCCAGGAGUGGGGCGGAGCUUCCCCAUGCCUGCACCACCAUACCUGGCUUGAUGAGACAUGCUUUCUACACGGAAGUUAUUUCUCAGAACUCCCGUUCCCACAGUCAGUCUGCAAUACUGUUAGCUGCUGCCUUCAUUUCAAGAGUCAAUUUGUCCAGCAUCCUCCUAGUUGUCCUUGGAUACAGUACCUUGUAUUCCUGUGUUUGAACAAUGAUGGUAAGUGCAAAGGGGACACAGUGGCACACAGACUAUGCCACUUUGUCCUUCCGUGUGAAAGCCUGGAACUAGAGAUUGGUGUUUGAACUUUAAAACAGCAAAAUUAUGUGUAGUAGGAGCCAUAAUAUAAAUCUUCAGAAUAAGCAAUGGAGCCUCAUGUGAAAUAUUUUUACCGAAGAUGUGUGUAAGUGAAAGUUUUAAUUUUUUAAAGAAUUUUCUUUUGAAAUUAAGUCUUUGAGAAUUAGAUACAGUGUACUUUGAUAAUAUUUACAUUCCUCUUCCAACUCCUCCCAGAUCUAAUCCUUCUCUACCCUACCUGCCCAACUUUGUGUUCUUUUAUUUUUAAUUAGAGUGUGUGUGUGUGCAUGCGUGUGUAUUUGUGCACGUGAAUGCAGGUGCCUACACAGUCCAGAAGAAGGAACCUGGUUCCUGGAGCUGGAGUUGCAGAAAGUUGUGAGCCAGACAUUGGUGCUGGGAACUGAAUUCAGGUUCUCUAGAAGAGAAGAAAGUGUUCUUAACCCCGAGCCAUUUCUCAAGGCCCCAGAUCCACUCCUGAACUAGGGGCCGAGGGGCAAUAUGGAUGGUAGCUACUGAAUUGGGCUGGGACUGAAGAUUAUUCCUUGGACAACUUUUCUUCCUGUGCCUCGCAUCAGCAACUCAGAGCUCCCUGCCUGGCUCCUUUCCCCUUCCCUCGCUGCUUCUGGACACCAACAAGCACACCUUCGUGGCGGGGUGGUGGCAGGUGAAGCAGGCAAGGGCAGAGGUGGAUGAGCGUGGUGGGUUCUGCAACCCAGACUUCUAUUUUUAAUUUCUGAAGGAUUUAUUAUUUAUUUGUUAGCUUGUUCAUUUAUUUGUCUUAUGUAUAUAGAUGCUUUGUCUGCACAUAUGUCUGUGAACCACAUGCUUUCAGUGCUCACAAAGGGCAGAAGAGGACUCUGAAUCCCUGAACCUGGAGUUUGUGGGUGCUGGGAAUCAAACCUUGGUCCUCUGGAAGAGCAGUCAGUGUUCUUAACUGCUGAGUAAUCUCUCCAACCCAACCUGGACUUCUAUAAAGGAGUGUGUGCUUUGAAAAUCUGGGUAAGGCAUGGGUAAUUUUUAGUGUGUGUGUGUGUGUGUGUGUGGUGUUCUCAGUGUCAUGUCUACUAUGUGGAAGUCAUAGACCUUGUGGGAGCUGAUUCUCUCAUUCCACUAUGCAUGCGGGUUCUAGAUGUUGCUCUCAGGCCUUUGGGCUUAGUGGCAAACACUUUUACUAAAUGACUAUCUCAUUGGUCUACAACAAUUGUGUUGUGAAAGAUACAACAGGAGAUGAAUCAAGUUGUUUGUGAGUGGAGUUCAUUUCCCAAACCCUCCAGUGUAAGAGUUACCUGCAAGCAUAAAGGCCAAAUGAUCUCUCCUGUAUCCCCAUCCUAACAACUCUGGAUCAGCUGGAUAUUGACCUGGGUCCAGCACUAGUCCAAGGUCUGCAGAAAAAAUAUAAUAUGCAAAUAAACGGAAAUAAAAAUGUAAAACAUCUGGGGCUGGAGAGAUGGCUCAGAGAGGUUCAGAGCACUUCCUGCUCUUCCAGAGGUCCUGAGAUCAGUUGCCAGCAACCACAUGGUGGCUCACAACCAUUGGUAAUGAGAUUUGGUACUCUCUUCUGACAUGCAGGCAGAACACUGUACACAUAAUAAAUAAAUAAAUAAAUAA